rnacentral:rRNA from 1 species
CACGUAGGGUGCGAGCGUUGUCCGGAAUUAUUGGGCGUAAAGAGCUCGUAGGCGGUUUGUCGCGUCUGCUGUGAAAUCCCGAGGCUCAACCUCGGGUCUGCAGUGGGUACGGGCAGGCUAGAGUGCGGUAGGGGAGAAUGGAACUCCUGGUGUAGCGGUGGAAUGCGCAGAUAUCAGGAAGAACACCGAUGGCGAAGGCGGGUCUCUGGGCCGAUACUGACGCUGAGGAGCGAAAGCGUGGGGAGCGAACAGG